GAAUAUUGGACAAUGGGGGGAACCCUGAUCCAGCCAUGCCGCGUGUGUGAAGAAGGCCUUUUGGUUUUAAAGCACUUUAAGCGAGGAGGAGGCUUCUCUAGCUCAUACCUAGCGAUAGUGGACGUUACUCGCAGAAUAAGCGCAGGCUACCUCCGUGCGCGCUGCCGCGGUAAUACAGAGGGUGCAAGCGUUAAUCGGAUUUACUGGGCGUAAAGCGCGCGUAGGUGGCCAAUUAAGUCAAAUGUGAAAUCCCCGAGCUUAACUUGGGAAUUGCAUUCGAUACUGGUUGGCUAGAGUAUGGGAGAGGAGGGUAGAAUUCCAGGUGUAGCGGUGAAAUGCGUAGAGAUCUGGAGGAAUACCGAUGGCGAAGGCAGCCAUCUGGCAUAAUACUGACACUGAGGUGCGAAAGCAUGGGGAGCAAACAG
rnacentral:rRNA from 1 species